CCUACGGGAGGCAGCAGUGAGGAAUAUUGGUCAAUGGGCGGAAGCCUGAACCAGCCAAGUCGCGUGAGGGAAUAAGGCCCUACGGGUCGUAAACCUCUUUUGCCGGGGAGCAAGGGCCGGGACGCGUCCCGGCCCGGAGAGUACCCGGAGAAAAAGCAUCGGCUAACUCCAUGCCAGCAGCCGCGGUAAUACGGAGGAUGCGAGCGUUCUCCGGAUUUAUUGGUUUUAAAGGGUGCGUAGGCGGGCUUUUAAUUCAGCGGUAAAAAUUCGUGGCUCAACCCCGUCCGGCCGUUGAAACUGGGGGC
rnacentral:rRNA from 1 species